AACGGUGACAUCAGAGCUUGCUCUGGUUGAUCAGUGGCGAACGGGUGAGUAACACGUGAGUAACCUGCCCUUGACUCUGGGAUAACUCCGGGAAACCGGGGCUAUACCGGAUACGAGACGCGACCGCAUGGUCGGCGUCUGGAAAGUUUUUCGGUCAAGGAUGGACUCGCGGCCUAUCAGCUUGUUGGUGAGGUAAUGGCUCACCAAGGCGUCGACGGGUAGCCGGCCUGAGAGGGCGACCGGCCACACUGGGACUGAGACACGGCCCAGACUCCUACGGGAGGCAGCAGUGGGGAAUAUUGCACAAUGGGCGAAAGCCUGAUGCAGCGACGCCGCGUGAGGGAUGAAGGCCUUCGGGUUGUAAACCUCUUUCAGUAGGGAAGAAGCGAAAGUGACGGUACCUGCAGAAGAAGCGCCGGCUAACUACGUGCCAGCAGCCGCGGUAAUACGUAGGGCGCAAGCGUUGUCCGGAAUUAUUGGGCGUAAAGAGCUCGUAGGCGGUUUGUCGCGUCUGGUGUGAAAACUCAAGGCUCAACCUUGAGCUUGCAUCGGGUACGGGCAGACUAGAGUGUGGUAGGGGUGACUGGAAUUCCUGGUGUAGCGGUGGAAUGCGCAGAUAUCAGGAGGAACACCGAUGGCGAAGGCAGGUCACUGGGCCACUACUGACGCUGAGGAGCGAAAGCAUGGGGAGCGAACAGGAUUAGAUACCCUGGUAGUCCAUGCCGUAAACGUUGGGCACUAGGUGUGGGGCUCAUUCCACGAGUUCCGCGCCGCAGCUAACGCAUUAAGUGCCCCGCCUGGGGAGUACGGCCGCAAGGCUAAAACUCAAAGGAAUUGACGGGGGCCCGCACAAGCGGCGGAGCAUGCGGAUUAAUUCGAUGCACCGCGAAGAACCUUACCAAGGCUUGACAUA
rnacentral:rRNA from 1 species